GAUGAACGCUGGCGGCGUGCCUAACACAUGCAAGUCGAACGGGGUUCUAUGUCGGAAGUUUUCGGAUGGAAGAGAUAGGACCCAGUGGCGGACGGGUGAGUAACACGUGGGUAACCUGCCUCAUAGAGGGGGAUAACAGAGAGAAAUCACUGCUAAUACCGCAUAAGCACACGGGAUCGCAUGAUCCUGGGUGAAAAGAUUUAUCGCUAUGAGAUGGACUCGCGUCUGAUUAGCUGGUUGGCGGGGUAAAGGCCCACCAAGGCGACGAUCAGUAGCCGAUCUGAGAGGAUGGCCGGCCACAUUGGGACUGAGACACGGCCCAGACUCCUACGGGAGGCAGCAGUGGGGGAUAUUGCACAAUGGAGGGAACUCUGAUGCAGCAACGCCGCGUGAGUGAAGAAGUAUUUCGGUAUGUAAAGCUCUAUCAGCAGGGAAGAUAAUGACAGUACCUGAAUAAGAGCCCCGG
rnacentral:rRNA from 1 species